rnacentral:rRNA from 1 species
CAGCAGCCACGGGAAUACGGAGGGUGCGAGCGCUAAUCGGAAUUACUGGGCGUAAAGCGUACGCAGGCGGUUUGUUAAGUCAGAUGUGAAAUCCCCGAGCUUAACUCGGGAACUGCAUUUGAAACUGGCAGGCUAGAGUCUCGUAGAGGGGGGUAGAAUUCCAGGUGUAGCGGUGAAAUGCGUAGAGAUCUGGAGGAAUACCGGUGGCGAAGGCGGCCCCCUGGACGAAGACUGACGCUCAGGUACGAAAGCGUGGGGAGCAAACAGGAUUAGAUACCCCGGUAGUCCCUGUCUCUUAUAC